ACUCAUUAACACAAAGCUUGUGCACUUUCUUGAAUGCUUUCCUAUCAGUUUCCCUCCAAGGAGCAAAAAAUGACUCUGUGGCCAAAGUUGGCGUUCUUACUAGGAGUCCUUGGAGGUGUCCAGUCAGAGGAGCAGUUGGUGGAGUCUGGAGGGGGUGUGAGAAGGCCUGGAGAGUCCCUCCGCCUCUCCUGCCAAGCCUCUGGAUUCACCUUCAGCAGCUCCUACAUGCACUGGGUGAGACAGGCCCCAGGGAAAGGACUGGACUGGGUUUCAGAGAUACAUCCAACUUCAUCUGGGAUUACAUACUCAGACAAAGUGAAGGGCCGCUUCACCACCUCCAGAGACAACGCCAAAAGCCAGCUGUAUCUGCAAAUGAACAGCCUGAAAGCUGAAGACACGGCAGUCUAUUACUGUACAAGGGCACAGUGUGGGGAAGUGAAUCUGAAGCCAGACAAAAACCUUCCUUUCCUCAGAGCCACUCUGCAACUUGAUUCAAUCAUGGAUCCUGGUUUAGUCAAUAAGGAUGGAUCACCAUCCAUUGAGAACUUUAGGAAUCUUUUGUUCUAG